rnacentral:rRNA from 1 species
UACGGAGAGUGCAAGCAUUAAUCGGAAUUAUUGGGCGUAAAGGGCGCGUAGGCGGGAGAAUAAGUCAGAUGUGAAAUUCCGAAGCUCAACUUCGGAGCUGCAUUUGAAACUAUUUUUCUAGAGGAUAGACGGAGAAAACGGAAUUCCACGUGUAGCGGUGAAAUGCGUAGAUAUCAGGAGGAACGCCGGUGGCGAAGGCGGCUUUCUGGACAGACACCGACGCUGAGGCACGAAAGCUAGGGGAGCAAACAGG